AUUGCCCUCUCUUCACAAGCCUCUCAUACUGCCAGCAGAAGAAGAAAAAGCACCUUACAGGCGUAGUUCUCAUGGUUUGAUACCUCCCCUACAUCCGAGGAAGUCUUCUAUUAAGAAAAUACCUGAUAUUGAAAGACCUUCCAAGGAUGCACAUGGACUUCCGAUUUCUCACCAAAGCACCUAUGGUCAAGCAGUGGUAAAUGGCAUGAAUGUUCUCUGCGGAGUAGGCCUUCUUUCUACUCCUUAUGCUGUGAAGGAAGGUGGAUGGGCCGGACUUUCAAUAUUAUUCAUUUUCGGCAUACUUUCUUUCUAUACUGGCAUGCUCCUGCGGUACUGCUUGGAUAGCCA
rnacentral:misc_RNA from 1 species